UUGCUGGAAUCCAUCUAAGAGAUGUCUCCUUUUUAAUUCCUCAUUCUUGGCUGCCUGCUAUGUUAGAUGAUCAGAUGUCAUUUCCAUCCCUAAGACAAACAAGAACUACAGGCUGCUUCCGUCUUCACCCAAUCAGGGAUGAGGAUGCCAAGUUCAAGCUCUGCAACAGGAGGUCUGUUCAGUUUGACGUCGGCAACAUGGUCAUGGUGACCGGCGGGAGGAACACUGGGCGUGUAGGAGUGAUCAAGAACUGGGAGAAGCACAAGGGCAUCUUCGAGGUCAUCGACGUGCUGCUUGGAGCUUUUUGCAUGCUAUGUCUAGUUUUCUCCUAUUUGUUGUACAGGAAAACAUAGAAUGGAAUUCAAAUUUGGUGGUCG